UCGAACGAGACUUUCUUACACCGAAUGCUUGCAUUCACCGUAAGAAGUUGAGUGGCGGACGGGUGAGUAACACGUGGGUAACCUGCCUAAAAGAAGGGGAUAACACUUGGAAACAGGUGCUAAUACCGUAUAUCUCUAAGGAUCGCAUGAUCCUUAGAUGAAAGAUGGUUCUGCUAUCGCUUUUAGAUGGACCCGCGGCGUAUUAACUAGUUGGUGGGGUAACGGCCUACCAAGGUGAUGAUACGUAGCCGAACUGAGAGGUUGAUCGGCCACAUUGGGACUGAGACACGGCCCAAACUCCUACGGGAGGCAGCAGUAGGGAAUCUUCCACAAUGGACGCAAGUCUGAUGGAGCAACGCCGCGUGAGUGAAGAAGGUCUUCGGAUCGUAAAACUCUGUUGUUAGAGAAGAACACGAGUGAGAGUAACUGUUCAUUCGAUGACGGUAUCUAACCAGCAAGUCACGGCUAACUACGUGCCAGCAGCCGCGGUAAUACGUAGGUGGCAAGCGUUGUCCGGAUUUAUUGGGCGUAAAGGGAACGCAGGCGGUCUUUUAAGUCUGAUGUGAAAGCCUUCGGCUUAACCGGAGUAGUGCAUUGGAAACUGGAAGACUUGAGUGCAGAAGAGGAGAGUGGAACUCCAUGUGUAGCGGUGAAAUGCGUAGAUAUAUGGAAGAACACCAGUGGCGAAAGCGGCUCUCUGGUCUGUAACUGACGCUGAGGUUCGAAAGCGUGGGUAGCAAACAGGAUUAGAUACCCUGGUAGUCCACGCCGUAAACGAUGAAUGCUAGGUGUUUGGAGGGUUUCCGCCCUUCAGUGCCGCAGCUAACGCAAUAAGCAUUCCGCCUGGGGAGUACGACCGCAAGGUUGAAACUCAAGGGAAUUGACGGGGGCCCGCACAAGCGGUGGAGCAUGUGGUUUAAUUCGAAGCAACGCGAGAACCUUACCAGGUCUUGACAUCCUUUGACCACCUAAGAGAUUAGGCUUUCCCUUCGGGACAAGUGACAGUGGUGCAUGGCUGUCGUCAGCUCGUGUCGUGAGAUGGUUG
rnacentral:rRNA from 2 species